rnacentral:rRNA from 1 species
CCUACGGGAGGCAGCAGUGGGGAAUCUUGCGCAAUGGGCGAAAGCCUGACGCAGCCAUGCCGCGUGAAUGAUGAAGGUCUUAGGAUUGUAAAAUUCUUUCACCGGGGACGAUAAUGACGGUACCCGGAGAAGAAGCCCCGGCUAACUUCGUGCCAGCAGCCGCGGUAAUACGAAGGGGGCUAGCGUUGCUCGGAAUUACUGGGCGUAAAGGGAGCGUAGGCGGAUAGUUUAGUCAGAGGUGAAAGCCCAGGGCUCAACCUUGGAAUUGCCUUUGAUACUGGCUAUCUUGAGUACGGAAGAGGUAUGUGGAACUCCGAGUGUAGAGGUGAAAUUCGUAGAUAUUCGGAAGAACACCAGUGGCGAAGGCGACAUACUGGUCCGUUACUGACGCUGAGGCUCGAAAGCGUGGGGAGCAAACAGGAUUAGAUACCCUGGUAGUCCACGCUGUAAACGAUGAGUGNUAGUGUCGGUCGAUGCAUGCAUGUCGGUGACGCGAGCUACG